rnacentral:tRNA from 1 species
AUCGCUGAGCGCGUGGGCGCGGGCUGGUCUCCAAAACCAAGCCCCGGGGGUUCGACUCCUCCCAGCGGUGCCA